rnacentral:rRNA from 1 species
UACGGAGGGUGCAAGCGUUAAUCGGAAUUACUGGGCGUAAAGCGCACGCAGGCGGUUUGUUAAGUCAGAUGUGAAAUCCCCGAGCUCAACUUGGGAACUGCAUUUGAAACUGGCAAGCUAGAGUCUUGUAGAGGGGGGUAGAAUUCCAGGUGUAGCGGUGAAAUGCGUAGAGAUCUGGAGGAAUACCGGUGGCGAAGGCGGCCCCCUGGACAAAGACUGACGCUCAGGUGCGAAAGCGUGGGGAGCAAACAGG